rnacentral:rRNA from 1 species
UACGUAGGGUGCGAGCGUUGUCCGGAAUUACUGGGCGUAAAGAGCUCGUAGGCGGCUUGUCACGUCGGGUGUGAAAGCCCGGGGCUUAACCCCGGGUCUGCAUUCGAUACGGGCUGGCUAGAGUGUGGUAGGGGAGAUCGGAAUUCCUGGUGUAGCGGUGAAAUGCGCAGAUAUCAGGAGGAACACCGGUGGCGAAGGCGGAUCUCUGGGCCAUUACUGACGCUGAGGAGCGAAAGCGUGGGGAGCGAACAGG